CCCAGCUGUAGGCAACUGCCCAGGUUGCCUUGGACCUAGGCAAGUGUUACACUGCUGGGAGAAAAAAGCAGGCAACAGCUGGCAGGCAUUCUGGAGCUGAUUAAUGCCAAGUCUGUGUUAACUAUGCCAGUGUGCCAGUGCAGUUGAAGUGACUGGUGCCACCGUAGGCACACACCAG
rnacentral:snoRNA from 1 species